rnacentral:rRNA from 1 species
CUCGUAGGCGGUUGGGUAAGUCGGGUGUGAAAACUCCAGGCUCAACUUGGAGACGCCACCCGAUACUGCUCUGACUUGAGUUCGGUAGGGGAGUGGGGAAUUCCUGGUGUAGCGGUGAAAUGCGCAGAUAUCAGGAGGAACACCGGUGGCGAAGGCGCCACUCUGGGCCGAAACUGACGCUGAGGAGCGAAAGCGUGGGUAGCAAACAGGAUUAGAUACCCUGGUAGUCCACGCCGUAAACGUUGGGCACUAGGUGUGGGCCCUAACCAACGGGGUCCGUGCCGUAGCUAACGCAUUAAGUGCCCCGCCUGGGGAGUACGGCCGCAAGGUUAAA